rnacentral:misc_RNA from 1 species
UCAUAAUCCUUCUCCAGGGCAGCAAGAUCCUCACGGGCCUCGGAGAACUCUCCUUCCUCCAUACCUUCACCAACAUACCAGUGGACAAAAGCACGCUUGGCAUACAUGAGGUCAAACUUGUGGUCAAUUCGUGAAAACACCUCAGCAACGCUGGUUGAGUUGGAGAUCAUGCAGACAGCCCUCUGCACCUUGGCAAGGUCACCACCUGGAACAACAGUGGGUGGCUGGUAGUUAAUACCGCACUUGAAUCCUGUUGGGCACCAGUCAACAAACUGAAUGGUGCGCUUGGUCUUGAUCGUGGCAACUGCUGCAUUCACAUCCUUAGGCACAACAUCACCACGAUACAUCAGGCAGCAGGCCAUGUACUUGCCAUGACGAGGAUCACACUUGGCCAUCAUAGAUGAGGGCUCAAAAGCACUGUUGGUGAUUUCUGCAACUGAAAGUUGCUCAUGGUAAGCUUUCUCAGCAGAGAUAACUGGCGCAUAGGAAGAAAGCAUGAAGUGGAUUCUUGGAUAGGGGACCAAGUUGGUCUGGAAUUCUGUCACAUCAACAUUCAGAGCACCAUCAAACCUCAGAGAGGCAGUGGCUUGUCUCUCAGGUGAUUUCGUCCUUGACUGCCUGUUAAGAUUGGUGUAGGUGGGUCGCUCAAUGUCAAGAGAGCGCCUGCAGAUAUCAUAGAUGGCUUCAUUGUCAAGAAGCACAGCAACAUCAGU